AUUGAACGCUGGCGGCAUGCCUUACACAUGCAAGUCGAACGGUAACAGGUCUUCGGAUGCUGACGAGUGGCGAACGGGUGAGUAAUACAUCGGAACGUGCCCGAUCGUGGGGGAUAACGGAGCGAAAGCUUUGCUAAUACCGCAUACGAUCUACGGAUGAAAGCAGGGGACCGCAAGGCCUUGCGCGGACGGAGCGGCCGAUGGCAGAUUAGGUAGUUGGGGGGAUAAAAGCUUACCAAGCCGACGAUCUGUAGCUGGUCUGAGAGGACGACCAGCCACACGGGGACUGAGACACGGCCCAGACUCCUACGGGAGGCAGCAGUGGGGAAUUUUGGACAAUGGGCGAAAGCCUGAUCCAGCCAUGCCGCGUGCAGGAUGAAGGCCUUCGGGUUGUAAACUGCUUUUGUACGGAACGAAAAGCCUCUUUCUAAUAAAGGGAGGUCAUGACGGUACCGUAGGAAUAAGCACCGGCUAACUACGUGCCAGCCGCCGCCGUAAGAC
rnacentral:rRNA from 1 species